CCUGUCGUGGGGGAUGGUGGACGACGCCGGGACGUUCUCGAUGUUCCGGCGGGCGAAGCUGUGGUUCGACGCCGUCCCGCCGGA
rnacentral:tRNA from 1 species